rnacentral:rRNA from 1 species
UGGGGGAUAUUGCACAAUGGGCGAAAGCCUGAUGCAGCGACGCCGCGUGGGGGAUGAAGGCCUUCGGGUUGUAAACUUCUUUUGCUCUGAACAAGGCGCACCAUGGGUGUGUUGAGUGUAGGGGUUGAUUAGCGCCGGCUAACUACGUGCCAGCAGCCGCGGUAAUACGUAGGGCGCGAGCGUUGUCCGGAAUUAUUGGGCGUAAAGGGCUUGUAGGUGGCUGGUUGCGUCUGUCGUGAAAGCUCAUGGCUUAACUGUGGGUUUGCGGUGGGUACGGGCUGGCUCGAGUGCAGUAGGGGAGGCUGGAAUUCCUGGUGUAGCGGUGGAAUGCGCAGAUAUCAGGAGGAAUACCGGUGGCGAAGGCGGGUCUCUGGGCUGUUACUGACACUGAGGAGCGAAAGCAUGGGGAGCGAACAGG